GAGUCGAACCUGCCCAGUGAUAUACAUUUAACGGCCGCGGUACUCUGACCGUGCAAAGGUAGCAUAAUCAUUUGCCUUAUAAUUGAAGGCUAGUAUGAAUGGUUUGACGAAAACAAUACUGUCUCUUUUUAAUUUUAUGUAACUUGAUUUUUAGGUGAAGAAGCCUAAAUUGAAUUGAAAGACAAGAAGACCCUAUCGAGCUUAAAAGAAUUUUAUUAAAAAAAAUUACAUAAAGACUAAUUAUAGUAAAAAAUUUUGGUUGGGGCGACUAAGGAACAAAUAAAGCUUCCAUUAUGAUAUCAAUAAGCCCUUUGGCUAUGAUCCAAAAAAUUUGAUUAAAAAAAUUAGUUACCGUAGGGAUAACAGCAUAAUCUUUUUUGAGAGUUCUUAUCGAAAAAAAGGUUUGUGACCUCGAUGUUGGACUAGAAUAUCCUAAACGAUGCAGAAGUCUUUAAGGGUUAGUCUGUUCGACUAU
rnacentral:rRNA from 1 species